CAUGGCUUUUUGAUUAUAAUUGAAAGUCUGGCCUGCCCUAUGAAUAUAUUAUUUAAAUGGCUGCGGUAGUUUGACCGUGCAAAGGUAGCAUAAUAAUUAGUUUUUUAAUUGGGAACUGGUAUGAAAGGUCGAACGAGAAAAAGACUGUCUCAAUUUAAUUUAAAUUAGAAUUUUAUUUUUAAGUUAAAAAGCUUAAAUAUACUUAAAAGACGAGAAGACCCUAUAGAGUUUUAUAUAAUUUAUUUUAUUUAAAAGUUAAAGUAUUAUAAAUUUAUUUAUAAUAAUUUAUAUUUGGUUGGGGUGAUUAAAAAAUUGAAUAAACUUUUUUUAAAAAUUAUAACAUUGAUUUAUGAUUAAGUGAUCCAUAUUUUAUGAUUAUAAGAUUAAAUUACCUUAGGGAUAACAGCGUAAUUUUUUUUGAGAGUUCUAAUCGAAAAAAAAGUUUGCG
rnacentral:rRNA from 1 species